UACAGAGGGGGCAAGCGUUGUUCGGAAUUACUGGGCGUAAAGCGUGCGCAGGCGGUUUUGUAAGUCUGUUGUGAAAUCCCGGGGCUCAACCUCGGAACUGCCUUUGAUACUGCAAAUCUCGAGUCCGGAAGAGGUGAGUGGAAUUCCUAGUGUAGAGGUGAAAUUCGUAGAUAUUAGGAAGAACACCAGUGGCGAAGGCGGCUCACUGGUCCGGUACUGACGCUGAGGUGCGAAAGCGUGGGGAGCAAACAGG
rnacentral:rRNA from 1 species